AAUAAGAAGAAUCUAAAUUAUCAGAUAAAUAAAUGCAAGAAAAUUAAAUCUAAACGUAACAGUAAUUGAGUCUUUGAUCGAAAAUUUAAUUUUAUUGUCCCCGCAAAUUAUACAAUUUUAAAAUUGUUCCCACAAUUACAUAUUUACAUAUUUUCAUGCACACAUCCAGUCAAAUUAAGAGAGAAAAAGAAGAAAAAAUAGAGAACAGAGAAUAGAGAAACUGUAAAAGUUUCUCUCACCCUAAAUAAAACUUAAUCAAUCGUUCAAAUUUUUGAUCUAUCACUGUUUAAAUUCGAUUUAAUAUUGUUUUAGAAUCUCGAAAUCGAUAUUAUACGCACAUCCAGUCAAAUUACAAAAAAAAAGAAAAAAGAAAAGAUGAAAAGGAAAAAAAAAAGGCCAAAAAUAAGAGCGAAGGAAUCGAUGCAGAAACCAGAGGAGCGAUCGGUAAAAUCAGUGUCGUCGAAAGUGUAAUUCUGAAAUCCAUUCCGGCCAGUUAAAGGGAGCCAAGUAACGUGAAGUAAUUCGUUCACGGAUAAAGGGGGAUCACCGAACAUUGGCAAUUUAGUGGAUUCACCGGAGAAUCUCUCCACCUCGAAUGUGCACCGUUGACGAGGUUUUAAUUACGCUAAUUACUCGAACGAAGCGGUACAACAGGCAGCCACCAGGGUGUAUCGUCGUGGGAAAUGCCUGAGUGUGGUGAUUUUGAUUUGGUGGGAUAAAAAAUAGCGCAAAUAGGCUGAAUACCCGAUAAAUUUGAGGUUAGUUACCGUUCUUCUUCAUCGAUGUAGUCACGUGAUAGGGUGGCGGUGUCGUGGACGUCGUAGAUGGUGCUGGAAUCUCUGUUCAAGGAAAAGAUGAAAAGAAGUUUGAAUAUUUUACCAAUUUAUUCGUCCAAGGAGGUGGAAAAGUAUACUCUCUCAAGGGAUAAAUAUAUCCUUCGUAAAUUUAAUCGCCAAUUACGAGCCAUGUUGAAAAGAUAAGGACGCUUGACCUCGUCAAACGAUCGAUAGCCAUCGAGUGGUAACGAUAAGAGUUUUUUCCCGUAAAAUCUAUUGAAAAUCUAUUUAUUUUUUUUUUCAAUACAAAAUCGUAUAUACCUCAAGAAAAAAUUACUUAAUUUUUCAAAUAACAUAUUGAAUACGAGAACGAAUUCAAAUGGAAUACAA